AUUAACUCAGCAGCUUGAGCUCUUGCAUAAGACCGUUGCUGCUUCCGUAAUGCAACAGGAGUAACAUCUGAAAGGAAUGGAGGAAGAUAUGCAUUCCUUUGUCUCUACAUAGGCUAAGGCUACUAAAGAACUUAGAGAAAGGGUAGGAAAGUUGAAAACCAUGUAUGGCUCUGGGAUCAGAGCAUUGGAUGAUUUGGCUAGAGAACUUGAUGGGAAUUUUAGGUCGACUUUUGAAAAUCUUAAUUCAGAAGUAUCAAUGCACUCAUUGGCUCUUGAGGAUCUUUUCAAAAGAUUUGCUUUAGAAGCCGAUGUGAUAUUGAAUGAACUUCAAAGUAGCCUGUCUAAUCAACAAGAGAAACUGGCUUCAUAUGCAAAGCAGCAGCGGGAGGGACACUAUAGAGCCGUGGAGACGACUCGGAUCUAUUUUAAAAAUUACUGUGAACUUCUUCACGGCUUUGGACAUGCAUGCAUCCAAAUUGAGCCAUAUUGUUGAAGAGACAAACUCUCCAUGACUAGAAAUUGUGGGAACUUGAAAAGAAGUUUGAGGAGUGUUCUGCUAAUGAAGAAAGGCAACUAUUGCAAAAAGUGGUUGAGAUGCUUUCAAGUGCUAGGAAGAAAAAACUGGUU